CGAGCACGCGCGUGUGGCAUAUCAAUAAGCGGAGGAAAAGAAACUAACAAGGAUUCCCUUAGUAACGGCGAGUGAAGCGGGAAGAGCUCAAAUUUGAAAUCUUCAAGGUUCUACCUUGACGAAUUGUAGUUUAUAGAAGUGUUUUCUGUUAGUGGAGUGGCAAAAGUUCUUUGGAGUAGGACAUCAUAGAGGGUGAGAAUCCCGUAUUUGGUCAUUCCUCCUAGCGUUGUGAUACACUUUCAACGAGUCGGAUUGUUUGGGAAUGCAGUCCAAAAUGGGUGGUAAAUUUCAUCUAAAGCUAAAUAUUGGCGAGAGACCGAUAGCGAACAAGUACCGUGAGGGAAAGAUGAAAAGAACUUUGAAAAGAGAGUUAAACAGUACGUGAAAUUGUCAAAAGGGAAGCGUUUGACACCAGUGUUGUUUAUCCGAAAAUCAAUUACGAAUGUUUUAUUUUCGAGGAGUUAUGACUUCAUCGGCUUGCUUCUUUCUUUAUGAAACUUUCUUAAUGCACUUUUCGGUUAACAAGUCAACAUCAAUUUCUUUUGUUGUAAAAGGGUAUGAGGAAGGUGGCUUUCUUUUCGGAGAAAGUGUUUAUAGCCUUGUGCCUCUGCAAUCGGAGAGAUUGAGGUCUGCAGCGUAGAUCCUUCGGGGUUAGAUACAUUUGUGCUAAGUUAUAGCUUUUCAUAGACAACUUGUUGACUAUGUUUAGUCUUGUAGCUUACUCGCUUACGCUAUUUUACCUACGCUUAGGAUGUUGAGCGCAUGUCUCUCUCU
rnacentral:rRNA from 1 species